rnacentral:rRNA from 1 species
UACGUAGGGGGCAAGCGUUGUCCGGAUUUAUUGGGCGUAAAGAGCUCGUAGGCGGUUCCGUAAGUCGUGAAGUCAAAUCUCUGGGCUCAACCCAGAAUCGCUUCCGAUACUGCGGUGACUGGAGUCCGGUAGGGGAGUGUGGAAUUCCUGGUGUAGCGGUGAAAUGCGCAGAUAUCAGGAGGAACACCAAUGGCGAAGGCAGCUCGCUGGGACGUGACUGACGCUGAGACGCGAAAGCGUGGGGAGCAAACAGG